rnacentral:snRNA from 1 species
ACAACUUAAACCGCAACCCGAU